rnacentral:lncRNA from 1 species
UUUUAAGGGUGAAAGCUUGGCUUGGCUAGAAGAAUCAUGAUUUUUCUAGGAUUCAAAGACACCUAAGAAGAGAACAUAAGUAUAUGUUUCAACUCUUAAUCAUCAUCACAAUCCCAAUUUAUUCAUCAUCAUUUCCUACCAUAUUCUUUCUGGUUACAACCUUCAAUUCUUCAAAUCAUGUACCCUUUUCAUCAAAUAAUUUUUUUUUUAUAUUGAACAUUUUUCUUCCCCCAAACUUUAACUCAAUCAUACCUUCACUCAAAACAUAAUACUCAUUCUCUUCUAAAGUGUAAGGUAGGAUAUCAUCUAAUUGGCUCAUGGUGGAAGAAAAAAUUUUCAAGGCUCAAAAGGGUUCACAAUGGUAUCAUAUAUAACGUAUGAAGGUUGGCUAUUUGGCCAGUAGCUAUACAAUUUAACAAGAACAAUGUCUUUCUCAUCCUUAACCAAAAGUGUGUAUGUAGAAUCACAAUCAUGCAAAAAUCAAUUCCAUAUCCAAACAAAUUUAUCAUCUCAUCUGUUUCACUCAUUCAUGCUCUCAAACACUCCACAGUAUCUGGUCUUAGUUCAACUCAUGCACAAGAUCACAGUUUAAGCACAUUGCACCACAAUCAUACAUGUUCUCAUCUUUAAAAAUCAUACCAAUUAAUCAAAACACACAUCAUUCAUUAAAUCAAAAUGUCAUUGUCUUCACAACACAAACAUAAACAACUAAACAACGUUCCACAAUAUAACAUCUGAACUGAAAAACAAAUAACAAAAAAAAAAAUUGAAACAACGGGAGAGUCUGUCCAUCUAAUCUGGAUCUCCACUCGCUCUCAUAUGUGUUGUGACUCUGUUGUGUGCAUCUGGGAUUGGGCUCUUCAUCAUCCUCAUCAUCAUCAUCCUCCGCAUAGGCACUCCCCCACCUGGACUGAGGUCUGCCUGCAGGCCGUAAUAGGGGUUCGCAAACUCAUAAGAGAAUAUUUGUCGAUCAUAGUUUAAACAAGGUUUUCUUCCUAUGCUGUAGCAGGAUGUGCUCUUGAAAAAGAUCUUGUGAUGGUUAUAGGAGAAGUCAUCUACACAAGAUUCGCUAAACACACCGAAACAGUACGCUAAGCGAAAUUACAGUUAGUUUUUUUUUUUUUAAGGGAAGUUGGCUAAGCGUAGCAAGUGUGCGUUGUGCUACUAACCCCUUUUUUUUAGUUUUUUCUUUUUUUAGUUUUUUUUUGUUUUUCUUUUAGUUUUUUUUUUUUUUGAAUUCAAAACAUUAGCUUAGGGCAACAAUGGGUUGUGCGCUAUGCUACUGUACUUUUUAAACUUUUUUUUUUAUUUUUAAUUUUUUUU